CGUUCUAUGGCCGAAUUGGUAAAGGCAUCGCCGAUCACAGGCAGUUGUGUUGUGGGUUUGAGUCCCGCUGGAACGA
rnacentral:tRNA from 1 species